AUUGAACGCUGGCGGCAUGCCUUACACAUGCAAGUCGAACGGUAACAGGUCUUCGGAUGCUGACGAGUGGCGAACGGGUGAGUAAUACAUCGGAACGUGCCCGAUCGUGGGGGAUAACGAAGCGAAAGCUUUGCUAAUACCGCAUAAGAUCUACGGAUGAAAGCAGGGGACCGCAAGGCCUUGCGCGAACGGAGCGGCCGAUGGCAGAUUAGGUAGUUGGUGGGAUAAAAGCUUACCAAGCCGACGAUCUGUAGCUGGUCUGAGAGGACGACCAGCCACACUGGGACUGAGACACGGCCCAGACUCCGACGGGAGGCAGCAGUGGGGAAUUUUGGACAAUGGGCGAAAGCCUGAUCCAGCCAUGCCGCGUGCAGGAUGAAGGCCUUCGGGUUGCAAACUGCUUUUGUACGGAACGAAAAGACUCUUUCUAAUAAAGAGGGUCCAUGACGGUACCGUAAGAAUAAGCACCGGCUAACUACGUGCCAGCAGCCGCAGUAA
rnacentral:rRNA from 1 species